CCAUGGUCCUAGAGGGCAGAUUAAAUCUAAACUUCUCUAUUCCCCAUUCUGCCUGAGAGUCACUACCCUGAAAUAGGAGGGUGGCAUGAAGGAGGGAAGAUGGGGUAACAGGAGACGCCAAUGGAGAUGGGCUGGAGAGAAGAUGUAAAUAAACUCAAGAGUCAUACGAAUAGAACAGAGAGUCCAGGAAACAAAUGGGAAAGGGAAUAGAAAGACUCCUGGGAAAAGGAGAAAGAAUGCGAAGAACUAGGGGCUGAGGCAAGGAGAACACCGCUACCGAACUGGAGGAACGCAACAUUCUUGUGUCCACUGGAAGCUGUUCUUGACAUGCAUCCUUUCAGCGAGAGGCAUCCUCUGGCAAAUGAAGAAAAUCCCAGGAGAAAGAGACGAAUAAGCGUCCCCCAAAGGAAUCAGAAACGUGGAAUAAAUCUCGCAGAUUUCCUCUGAACCCUGAGCAAAUUGGACGACGAAUACAGUUCUGUAGCUACUAAAGUGUUCCUAUUUCCUUAAGGUCAGACAAGUGCACCUGAGAGAAGACAAGAUUGAUCAUUCCGGAGCCCCACUGGCCAUCUGAACGAGACCGGGGUCCUUUCCUCUCUCAGUCCUGCCGAGCCCCAGAGAUGGAGCUCCAGUGGGGACCUGAGAUGCCCCAGUUUAGUCUUGCAGAACACUGGCUUCCCAGAACAUGAAGAGAGGGGCAAUGUGACCACUGAAGGAAAAUGCUCAGUGUCCAGAGCCAAGUCAGGGAGUCAGCCCUUGAACUCGGCCAAACGUUGAUGGGGAAAACACAGCCCAGCAUGGAUCUGGUCCCUUCAGGGGAAGCCAAGGAGUUUACGGACCAACCGGGCGGAAAUAACUCUCCGUCGAAGUGACUGUUCUCUUGGGUUUCCGUGGUUGAGGAUUCACCAGGCCGAGGAAUCAGAGCUCUGGAAAGGCUGACGGGAACAGAAGAAAAGCCCGGUGAUGGGUGAUGCUGCCUUAAGGGAUCCAAAUCUUUGCCUGGGAAGGAAGAGUUCCUAGAUGCUGGAUUUCAAAGAAACAAUAAACAAGAAGAACCAGUAGAUUUGACCUCGCAGGUAACAAUGGAAGAUUCUGAAGAUUGCCAUAAUCUUCCCUCUCCCUGGACAUGAGACCAAGAAGGUUUUCUUUGAUCCACAUACCCUGGAUUGUGAAGUACAGCUCCGAUCAAGUCUAGAACACAGCCAAGUUUUAAGGUAAGGAAAGUCGGGAAAAUACAUUACACUGGGCACAGAAUUGUGUGGUGUUUAAGGGC